UACGUAGGGUGCAAGCGUUAUCCGGAAUUAUUGGCGUAAAGAGCUCGUAGGCGGUUUGUCGCGUCUGCUGUGAAAACUGGAGGCUCAACCUCCAGCCUGCAGUGGGUACGGGCAGACUAGAGUGCGGUAGGGGAGAUUGGAAUCCUGGUGUAGCGGUGGAAUGCGCAGAUAUCAGGAGGAACACCGAUGGCGAAGGCAGAUCUCUGGGCCGUAACUGACGCUGAGGAGCGAAAGCAUGGGAGCGAACAGG
rnacentral:rRNA from 1 species